rnacentral:tRNA from 1 species
GGAGGCACAGCUUGAUGGUAGAGCGCGUGCUUAGCACGCACGAGGUCCUAGGUUCAAUCCCUGAUACUGCCU